GGGAUCUGUAUGUUCAUAUCUGCAGUGGUGAUUGUAAUCUCGGUUUGACUGAUUGAAGCGGUGGACGACACUGAAUGCAUGCGAGAUCCGCUGCGGCGAAUGGCUGCCUUGACGGUUGUUGGUGUGGAUUAGGUGCCGGCGCCGGCCGCGAGUGCAGACGCACAGAUCUGCUCGAGCGUGGUGUGGUUGGCAGAAGGAAGAACUCGUCGCCGCCCUCGCAGGUCUCCACGGGAAGGCCCCAGCCCACAAGCUCCUCGGUGGUUAAAGAGGCUAAGGAACUUUCUGCAGAACGGCUGCUUCUUCAGUGCCCAAGCUUGAAAGAUGUUCAUGUCUAUCGAUGUUGUGAUAUGUUGAUCGGAGCAAUCAGAAACGAGGUGAGCCGUGGAUCAGGUUCUCGAUUUCUGUCUGGUCUGUGGCUCAGAAAAGUCGAUGCUCCAUGGAUUCAAUGCAAGGUGAGUCUGUUCUACCCCAACGCGGCCGUCAUUUUGGAACUUCAGAAGCAAGGGAGGGAGUGGACGAACACACGACCGAAAGCGAUGGAUUUCCUCUUGCAAUCAGGAGGUAUGUCGAUCCGAUGCUACUAAUCGACCUUGUGUGUUUUCCAGUGUCGAGUUCCAGCGGUUAACCUUUUGUGAUUUGUCUCUCCCAGAUCCACUCUGAUUGAGGUUGGGGAGAGUCUAGUGCUGGAAGGUCGCCGGCACAUGGCACCAGGUGGACAGUGGUCAAGGUGAUGCUGCAGGAGGCCAUGGGUGUGAGCGCCAAAGGGCGGAUCUGCGGCGUUGCUGAAGCGGCGGAAGUGACAAGGGGCAGCUCGCCUCUCACUUCCGAGCUGUCGACGGGGAAGAUGAAUCUUCAGGUUCCUCGUUGGAACAAGAGGUUGAGGACUGGAGCCUCUGCCCCAAGCUUGACGCCUUUCCCACCCCGCAUAAGCACUUUUGAGAAGGCAGUUAGGGUGUUCAUAGAAAACCUGACUGAAGAUGAGCCAUGGCUUGUAAUUUGGUGGCGGUAAUCUGGUCCGUGGACCAGGAAAUUCGCUUUACGUAGGUGGAUGGCUUGAAUCAUUCACUGCAGGCCGGCGGCUCCCCAGCUGCGGUAUCCAAAUCCAUUUCCAGUCAGCGGGGUGCUCCAGCGCACACGAAUCCAUUCGAGCGAUGGAGUUCCAAAUGCAGCUAAUUAGAAGGUAUCCUCUGGUGGAGGAGGUGAGUGAGAGUGACCAGGAGAGGGGAUCUGCCAACAAGCAGGGCGGUGGCGACUUUCCUGGCAGUGGAUGAACCGUCGGCGGCCUGUCCGCGCAGAUGUGUGAGUUACAGACCGCCGUGUUGGGAAAACAGAAGAGCCCGCUGCAGCAGUCUAAACUAUCAACUGAUCAAAAUCGAGCAGCGGAGGUCGCGAUCAAGAGUGUGAUGCUUGUUGGUGUGUCGACGGCUGGGGCACAAGAGAACUACGUACUUACCCGGAUCUCGGUGAUGUGCCAAAGCAGCCUCGGAAGCCGGCGAGUUGCAAAAAUUGUGGUGUGGUGGGGCACCAAAGGAACAAUUUUACGAAAGCGAUGGAGCUGAGAUUAGCUGGUGGCGUGUAGUGGUGAGUGAAAAAUGCCAAACGAUUUCAGUAAGUUUGAAUUGUCAAUCGCAAGCACGACUUGUUUUCUGCAUUCAUGAUGUGUUUGUGCAACUGAGCACCUGCCCUGCGUGCAGGCAUGCUUUAUGUCUCGGAUUAGUUUGCUGGCGUUGUGUUACCCGCCUAGAGCUAGUGGUGUGGUGUAAUCCAUCUCCAAGUUUGUUGUUCUGCCGUAGUUAAUUAAGUUCGUAAUCAUCAUAUCACAUUUGUCU